AGAGUUUGAUCCUGGCUCAGAUUGAACGCUGGCGGCAUGCCUUACACAUGCAAGUCGAACGGCAGCACGGGGGCAACCCUGGUGGCGAGUGGCGAACGGGUGAGUAACAUAUCGGAACGUGCCCUAGAGUGGGGGAUAACUAGUCGAAAGAUUAGCUAAUACCGCAUACGAUCUACGGAUGAAAGUGGGGGAUCGCAAGACCUCAUGCUCGUGGAGCGGCCGAUAUCUGAUUAGCUAGUUGGUGGGGUAAAGGCCUACCAAGGCAUCGAUCAGUAGCUGGUCUGAGAGGACGACCAGCCACACUGGGACUGAGACACGGCCCAGACUCCUACGGGAGGCAGCAGUGGGGAAUUUUGGACAAUGGGCGCAAGCCUGAUCCAGCAAUGCCGCGUGAGUGAAGAAGGCCUUCGGGUUGUAAAGCUCUUUUGUCAGGGNAAGAAACGGUUCGGGUUAAUACCUUGGGCUAAUGACGGUACCUGAAGAAUAAGCACCGGCUAACUACGUGCCAGCAGCCGCGGUAAUACGUAGGGUGCAAGCGUUAAUCGGAAUUACUGGGCGUAAAGCGUGCGCAGGCGGUUGUGCAAGACAGAUGUGAAAUCCCCGGGCUCAACCUGGGAAUUGCAUUUGUGACUGUACGGCUAGAGUGUGUCAGAGGGGGGUAGAAUUCCACGUGUAGCAGUGAAAUGCGUAGAGAUGUGGAGGAAUACCGAUGGC
rnacentral:rRNA from 1 species